UUUUUCUUAUUUUAUUGAAGAGCAACAGUUGUGACAAUAAGGAAGAGGCCUAUGAGACAGAAGGUCAAGUAGAAUUUUAACUUCAGUAACUAAAGUUCAUAUCCUUAAAGCUCAGAAUCUGAGUGCAGCAUAAGUAUUGUGCAGUUACCCAAGUUACACGGACGAGCAGCCACAGUUUGGGAGGAAUAAAUGUCAAAUGAAACCUUGAAUUUAGGGGGAUGGCACAGUGGAAAUCCCAAUCAUGGGAAACAUCCUUGUGGAGGUUGUAUGGUUUUGGGUAUUACCCAGCCCUCCAAACAAAUUUCUCAUGGAUUUGCCUGGCUGAAUUCCAAGCCCUAUUCUGGGGCUCGCUGUGAUGCCGAAGCCAGACUGUGUCACAGUGCAAAAACCUGAAGACGUCACAUCUGUUUGAAGUGGCCAUUACACACCUAAACUGAGGUUACGGAAUCAUACAUGGCUCAUGUUCAGCCUGAGGAGAGAAGGGUUCAGGGAGACCUUAGAGCCCCUUCCAGUACCUAAAGAGGCUUCAGGAGGGCUGGAGAGGGACUUGGGACAAGGGAUGGAGCUACAGGAGCAAUGGCUUCCCUCUGCCAGAGGACAGGGUUAGACGGGAUAUUGGGAAGGAACAAGUGGUCAGGCUCUGGCACGGAUUGCCCACAGAAAUUGUGGCUGCUCAUCCCUGGAAAAAUGGAGGGGAUGCGUCCCAAGGCCAGAUUGGAUGGAGAUUGGAGCAUCCUGGGAUAAGAGAAUUCCCUACAGGGAAUGGAAUGAGAUGGGCUUUAAGGUUCCUUCCUAAUCAAACUGUUCUGGAAUUCUAUGAUUCACAAUCCUGUGGAUUGUGAGUGGGAAGAGCCAUGGGCACAGCAGUCAUCCCAGAGGGCUUGUGCCACGGCUCGGAGCGCUCCCGAUCCGUGAGGGGAUCCACGCGUGUCCCCGAUCCGUGAGGGGAUCCGCGCGUGUCCCAAAUCCCUGAAGGGAUCCGCGCGUGUCCCAAAUCCCCGAGGGGAUCUGCGCGUGUCCCCGAUCCCCGAGGGGAUCCGCGCGUGUCCUAAAUCCCUGAAGGGAUCCGCUCGUGUCCCAAAUACCUGAAGGGAUCCGCGCGUGUCCCCGAUCCGUGAGGGGUUCCCGAGGGACGGCCGCGCCCGCCGCCGCCAGAGGGCGCCCGCGCUCAGCAGCCUGGGCCUGAGGUGGCGGGAGCGGGGCUGGGUGGGACACCGGGAUCCGGCAUUCCCUUCGCCAUUCCCGGGGCCGCCCGGGUUCCCCAUUCCCUCCCCAUUCCCGGGGCCGCCCGGGUUCCCCAUUCCCUCUGCCACUCCCGGGGCCGCCGGGGCAGCGCCGCAGAGCUCCGCAAACAGCCUGGACACGGCAGCCCAGGAGUUUUCCCCUUUCUCCUGCACCUCAUGUAGAAAGGGGGUACGUGAGGGCACAGCGGCUCGUGGUACAGCUCAGAGUUGUUUUUUUCCGGAAUAUUGGAACAGCAGUCAGCUCUCCGUUCAAAUUGGCAAGAAACGGUGAAUAGAGAGGUUUAUGGUUGAAAGCUCUUGUGCAUUCCUGGAGAAGGGAAAUUUAAACACACCACUCGCUAUUUCAGGAGAAGAGGGAAAGGCAAGACUUCGUUCUUCUCCUGACUGUGUCCAGCUCUAUGCCAUAAUUUGAAAAUGGUGUUUGCAAACAUUUUCAACAUCGACUGAACAAACCAGACCACGGAUACUUUGUUCAAUGUGCAAGGCUCGCCACCAGCAGAACCCACACUUCUGCAGGGACAGAUGCACUGGUCAGACCAGGUGACUGCAUCAGCAGAAGCUGCACACACACAGCUCCAGGAGAAAAAUCAGGGAGAUUGACUAGCCUCUCCAAUUGAUAACAGUGACAGAAACCAGAGCAUCAGAGAAGAAUUUAUUGAUCCCUCAUUGUCAGGGAAUGUGAAAAAAUAGGAUGAAACCACAAGAAGAAAUAAAAUAUAUUGACCUAAUCUACAUGACGUCAUACAGACAAGUCAGAGAUUAAAACCAAACAAGAGAGUUUCUGAGUGAUAUGAAAAACUCAUAGGAAUGUUUGAAUAAUGUGUAAAUUCAUGAACAUGCAUGUAACCCCAGCAAUGUAACAGUAUAUAGAGAAUCUUGUUUUAGAUUAAAGGUGUGCUUUUUAGCCAAUCACCAAAAACACCCCAGUGCUGGAUAUUUGUCCUUUUUUAUCCCCUUAUUAAAGUUUUAAAAAUUCUAAAGAA